rnacentral:rRNA from 1 species
UACGGAAGGUCCGGGCGUUAUCCGGAUUUAUUGGGUUUAAAGGGUGCGCAGGCGGUGCGGCAAGUCUGAUGUGAAAGCCCGGGGCUCAACCCCGUACAGCCGUUGAGACUGAGGAGCUAGAGACGGCGAGAGGUACGCGGAAUGCGCAGUGUAGCGGUGAAAUGCAUAGAUAUUGCGCAGAACUCCGAUUGCGAAGGCAGCCUACCAUCGCGUGACUGACGCUGAGGCUCGAAAGUGCGGGUAUCAAACAGG